UAUAAUUUUAUUUAGCUAGUCUUACAAGGAAGAAAGAGAUUUAGAGAGAUACAAAGGCAUACGUAUGAAUGGCAAUGAAAGAAGACCAAUCUACAGGGAAGAGGAGAAAUGAUGCAAAUUAAAUGAUGGCUUAUGCAGCCGUUUUCAAGAGAAAUGAUUUAUUGAAUAAACAUAUAACGCAAAAAUAAAUAAAUGCCAAAGAUUGCGAUGCUGACGGCGCUGUUUUGAAUCGACCUUCGGUAGGCGCACGACACAGAACACGAGCCAGAUGAUCGAUCCCACAUAGUUGUAUCUUUUCAAACAUGGCGUCAUCUCGAUGCUAUAUUGUAAAAUUACCAGCCGGACGAUCAUUUAUAGUUUACCGUUAUCCGUCGAUUCCUUUUUUAGCCUGUUCCCACGUCAAACUUUUGUAGAGAGAGAGAGAGAGAGAGAGAGAGAACAUGCUCACCUUAAUAAAGUGAA
rnacentral:lncRNA from 1 species